CGCCAUUAAGGGAGUGAAAUUCACGCAACAAUAACAUGUGACGGCAUUGCAGCUGGGUGCAAUUUCAGAAUAGAUCAGUUUGACCUAGAAAGUCUCCUGGACCAGUGGAGUGACGAAUAUUAUGUGGCGUUAGCCGCGGCCACCACCACCACCACCACCACCACCACAGCAGCCACCACCACCACCACCACCACCACCACAGCAGCCACUGGCACCUACCCUGUUCUGAGGGGUAUGCUAAACCCCCACAAAACACUGAUAUAAUAGAUCAGUUUGACCUAGAAAGUCUCCUGGACCAGUGGAGUGACGAAUAUUAUGUGGCGUUAGCCGCGGCCACCACCACCACCACCACCGCCACCACCACCACAGCAGCCACCACCACCACCACCACAGCAGCCACUGGCACCUACCCUGUUCUGAGGGGUAUGCUAAACCCCCACAAAACACUGAUAUGACUAAGAUCAAAGAAGAUCUGGACAGUUUGAUUAUAAAAAUUAAAUAAAAAAAAUAAAAAAAAUAACA